AAUAUAUAUAUAUAUUUAAACAUUGUUAUUUCUAACCAGCACCGAUACUAACGGUACCCCCACCCCGGUCUGUAAAUUUACAGCGGUUUCCCCCUGAGGUGCUGUGAAGCAAAAGGCAAUACAGCCAGCAUAGAUCAGGUCUAGUCUUCCCCUCCUGUUGUACUCUAAACAUUCGUGGUACAAUAGGUCCAUUUUUGCAUACAGAAUGGCGCCCCGAAAAACAGUCAAACAAACCACCCGGGCUGUAAAGUCAUUACAUACUAUCUCUCGGUCACGACAGAGGUCCUGAUGAAACAGACCGUAUUCUACCCAUCUGUACGACCGGCUUUAACGUAACUACAAACCCUGGACAACAGCCCAGAAGAGCGGAAGACCAAACAGCUAAAAGAUCAUCUGUGAAUCAUUCCUCAUGGAGCUUUUUGAAGACGUGUUUUUUACAGAUUUUCAAAAUGGGUGGACAACGAUUUUUCAGGUUUUCCAACAUUGAGCCAACUGCUCCCGGGGAUAAAUGCCUUGGAUCAUCCAACAUCAGCUGUUAUAACUAUCCGUGAUGAGGCUUCACAACUGGAGGACACCGAAUUUUACGAGAUAUCUAUAUGUCAACUGUAUGUAUUUUUUAUGAUAAAAUGUAUAACCAACACCGAAGGCCCUACACCACAAGAGGACAUGGUCUAGACGGCUGGGGUACCCCGGAACAUAACGAGUAAUACAUUGAAGCCGGAUAAUUUCCCCGCUUUAAAUUACAUUUCAGAGGUUGUUGAUUUGCGGUUGUUUGAAAUGGACAGACAGACAGACAACAUGAUAAGGACAACUCCGAGAUAGAAACAAUAUUCAGUCAAGAUAUUCUAAAACUGGAGGACAACGAUUUUUACGAUAUAUCGCUGUCAAUUGUACGUAUUUUUUAUGAUAAAAUGUGGAGAUGUUUUGUAUAAAUAUAGUUGAAUAUUAUUGUAGAAAAGCCCAAGGACGUUGGUGGAAACGUCCUUUAAUUCGAGGCCUCAUACUCAGCGGUGCCAGGGAAUGCCUUAAUUAGGUCGGGUGGAAAUGUAUGACAGAUCUCAUCCCAUAAAAUUAGUAAAUAGCCAUAGUCCAAUCUGGCUGCUUUCUCUUCCGUGCGUCCAUGAAUCCGCGUUAGUCACCCGAAUCGGUUACCUUUCAUUGGGACUUUCUGUUGCCAUCAGUUAUUGAUUUAUAGUUAUUACCGCUGUAAUGGUUUUCUGGGGAAAGAGAGGUGGACCAAAAUGCAGCGUGGUUAGUUUUGUGCAUCUUUAAUAAAGAUGAAAGUACAACAAUCUACAAAACAAGAAACGUGAAAAAACCACAACAGUCCUAUCUGGUGCCACAAACACAAAGACAGGAACAAUCACCCACAAAACCCAACACAAAACAGGCUACCUAAAUAUGGUUCCCAAUCAGAGACAAUGACUAACACCUGCCUCUGAUUGAGAACCAUAUCAGGACAAACAUAGACAAACCAGACACACAACAUAGAAUGCCCACCCAGCUCACGUCCUGACCAACACUAAAACAAGGAAAACACACACGAACUAUGGUCAGAACGUGACAACCGCGGAGAGCGGCUUGGAGCGCGGCUUGGAGCGCAUGCUUCAAAUCUAACGUGUAAUGUGAUUUGGUCAAUGAUCAAGAUCCUACGGAUUAUCACAGGCCAAUUAUGCCAAAGUUAUAUGGUUAAUAUGUCAUGAAAUUACAUGGACACAUGAAGACACUUGAAAGGGUGAUAUAUGAAACGGCAUUGUUUGCGGAACUGAUCGAUUCCGACAUCAAACUAAUGGGUAUUAUAGACGGAAUAACCGAUUACUGUAUGUAUUAUACUUCUCAUGAUUAUGAUAAAUAGUUACGAGCAUAAAUGACUCAUGGAUGAUACCUAUUGACUUCUUAAUUAACCGGCAUGUGGAAUUCUCUAAGUAUGUUAAUAGUGAUUGUUAAUAAUGAUUGUUAUGAUUUGAUCUUUGUGAUUAUGAAUUUGAUAGGAUACAUGUUACGAAUUUGAUAAUUUGACCUGUUAUUCUGUUUCAUUUGUUAGGUCGCACAGACUACUCAGUAAAUAUACCACUUUAUGGUUAAAGAAA